CCUACGGGUGGCUGCAGUGAGGAAUAUUGGUCAAUGGACGGAAGUCUGAACCAGCCAUGCCGCGUGCAGGAAGACGGCUCUAUGAGUUGUAAACUGCUUUUGUACAAGGGUAAACCUGAAUACGUGUAUUCAGCUGAAAGUACUGUACGAAUAAGGAUCGGCUAAUUCCGUGCCAGCAGCCGCGGUAAUACGGAGGUUCCAAGCGUUAUCCGGAUUUAUUGGGUUUAAAGGGUGCGUAGGCGGAUUGGUAAGUUAGAGGUGAAAUGUCCGGGCUUAACUCGGGAACUGCCUCUAAUACUGUUGAGCUAGAGAGUAGGUGAGGUAGGCGGAAUGUAUGGUGUAGCGGUGAAAUGCUUAGAUAUCAUGCAGAACACCGAUUGCGAAGGCAGCUUACCAAACUGUAACUGACGUUGAGGCUCGAAAGCGUGGGGAGCAAACAGGAUUAGAUACCCUUGUAGUC
rnacentral:rRNA from 1 species